AAUAGGCACCCCAGGUGAUCUACGCCAAUAAUUUUCAAACUUCUGUGUACAUGCAAAUAACCUGGGCAGCCUGUUAGAUAGACAAAUUCCCAGUCUCCACUCCCCUCUCUCCCAAUUCAGACUGUUAAGACUAAGGUAGGGCUCCAAAAUGUGAAAUUUCACAUUCACUCUGGAUGAUUCUGAUAAAGGUGACCUUGGGCC